rnacentral:lncRNA from 10 species
UAUUAUUGAGCAUUUUCUUACUUUCUGACAAAACAAAAUAUUUCAAGGUCAUCUUGAAUUUUUCUGACAGCAGUCCUGGUACAACCACCAUGUCAAGGAACUCUAGCUUCUUUUAUUGGAAGACUGUGAGAUGGUGUUUGGAUUGCUUGACAUCUUAUUAUUGAACGGUUGAAGUCUGGAAGUGCCUUUUCUCAAUGAGUGUCCUGUUUAUGUCAGAAAUGGGUAAAAGAUGUGGGGAGCAAGCAGCUGUGACCCAACUCACCCAGAACAAUGCCAACUGACCUUGGACUCUGAGAAGUUACUUAGAAUGAACCAGGGGUAUAAUUUAUACCUGAUCUUGACCUCACAUCUUAAGGAUGAGAAGAGGAUAUUUGUUAUAAACAAUAAGCUUUCCCAUUCAGAAAUUACUCCUUAGUAUCUCUACUAUAAACAGGUGGAAGACACUUUGC